rnacentral:rRNA from 1 species
UACGUAGGGGGCUAGCGUUGUCCGGAAUCAUUGGGCGUAAAGCGCGCGUAGGCGGCUUUGUAAGUUAGAGGUGAAAGCCCGGAGCUCAACUCCGGAACUGCCUUUAAGACUGCAUCGCUAGAAUUGUGGAGAGGUGAGUGGAAUUCCGAGUGUAGAGGUGAAAUUCGUAGAUAUUCGGAAGAACACCAGUGGCGAAGGCGACUCACUGGACACAUAUUGACGCUGAGGUGCGAAAGCGUGGGGAGCAAACAGG